GAGCUGUAAGAUUACCGAGUACAGCAGUCGGCCCACAUCUUGGGGGAGGCGUUCCAGGACCCCCAGUGGAUGCUGGAAACCUCGGAUAGCGCCGAAACCUAUAAAUACUGUUUUUUCCUGCACAUACACACCUAUGAUAAAGUUUAACGUAUAAAUUAGGCACUGUAAGAGAUUAACAACAAUAACUAAUAAUAAAGUUGACUUUGGGGCCAUUAUGAAGUGAAAUAACAGUUACUUGAACGCAAGUGCUGUGGCACAGUGACUGUCUAUCCGACAAUCGAGAAGACGACUAAGCGACCGUUGGACAGGAAGCAGAUAGAGCAGGGAUCUGCUGGACGAAGGGAUGAUCCACGUCCCAGUUGCAGGCCGUCUGUACCUACCAAGAGGGUCCCGGAGUUGGUAUGAACUGUAAGGCCUGCAGUCCAGGAAAUGAGGAUCUCGAAGGUGCUGGAGUCUCAGUCGACAGCUCUCAGACGAGGAAACUCAGCACAGAGCUUACAAACAACAGAG
rnacentral:lncRNA from 1 species